GCUGUAUGCAAACAUGUCAAGCUAUCAAAGGAGCUGCCUUUCGGUUUCAUUAAUUUUGUUGUGUGCAGCUUCCGCUGAAGGCUUCAGGGCACCUGAUCUCUUUUGUGUGUUGAUAAAGAGCAAGUGCUUGGCCAGGACACAGCCUUUUCUCUUGCACCCUGAGACAUCCUAAGACACUGGCUGUUUCACCUGCCCCAGUGUAUUUGCUGUCUUCAUCAGCUCUCUUUCUGCCCCUGACAUUCUUGCCUGGCAUUUUGAGUCAGCCUGAGUAUAAUCCGAAUCGAAAUGAAAUGCUGUCUGGAAAUCUUACCAAAGAAGCACAGUCCCACUUCGUGCUUCCAUCUCCCCACAUCCCAAAGACCACCGCCUACUUUAAGAGAGAACACAGACAAUUCACCUCCAUAAAGGCACAGCCAGGGAGAGGAGUAGGCAGAGGUGACAGCAGAUCAUGGGGCUUCUCUUGAAAGGAAGACACCUCCCAGUAACGAACCCUCAUCGUCCAUUUACUGACUUAUCCUUAUGUCACUAGGAUUUGAACGUCUAUGACACUCUUCCGAGCUGACACAGUGAAGAACAUGGAAGGAGAACUCACCCAGUCUGCCAGGGUCACAGAUGAUCAUACUCAAGAUCUUCCUGGGGAGUCAACGGCAAAUUUCACUGGGCUACUUUACAGAUGAAGAAGGAAUAUAAAGAAGGUUCUGGGACCCUGAAGUCCACGGAACACCCACCAUUACCUGAUCUUUGGAGCUUGUCAUUUGGCCAGUGGACCCUAAUAAACAUGUCCACGGGGAUGUGGGGAUGGAAUGCCGGAGCCUGGCUCGCUAGGGCAUCCAGGUUCUUCCUCUUUGCCCUGCUGUCUCCAGGCACCAAGAAUCUCCUGCAGUUCCCCAAAGAUGAACCCCCCAGUAUCUCAGGUCACUCUGUUUCCCUUGAUCUUUACCAAAUUCCUGACUCAGAGUUCCUCCCAUUUGCUUCUGACUCUCAUUUUAUUCUUAUGAUGUUUACCAUUUCUGUUCUCCUCAGUGUCCCUCUCUGAGUGCUAAGAGUAUGUUAAUAAGCCAGUGCUCAGACCACAGCACAAGGCAACUGCUCAGUGUCGGUCAUUAUCACUGUUAUUAAAUGUAACUUAAGGGAA
rnacentral:sRNA from 1 species